rnacentral:tRNA from 1 species
GGGGAUGUAGCUCAGAUGGUAGAGCGCUCGAGAAGUACGGGGAUCGAUACCCUGCAUCUCCA